rnacentral:rRNA from 1 species
GCGCACCAGUCGCGAAAACUUCACAAUGUGCGAAAGCACGAUGAGGGAAUCCCAAGUGCUUGCACGUAAGUGUAAGCUGUUUCUCUGUCUAAAACGCAGAGAGAGUAAGGGCUGGGUAAGACGGGUGCCAGCCGCCGCGGUAAUACCUGCAGCUCGAGUGGUGACCGUUAUUAUUGGGCCUAAAACGUCCGUAGCCGGUUUAAUAAAUGCCUGGGUAAAUCGGACCGCUUAACGGUUCGAAUUCCGGGUAGACUGUUAAACUUGAGACCGGGAGAAGUUAGAGGUACUCCUGGGGUAGAGGUGAAAUUCUGUAAUCCUAGGGGGACCACCAGUGGCGAAGGCGUCUAACUAGAACGGGUCUGACGGUGAGGGACGAAGCCCUGGGGCGCAAACGGGGAUUAGAUACCCCUGUAGU